GUUAUAUGGUCAAGUGAAGAAGCGCAUACGGUGGAUGCCUUGGCAGUCAGAGGCGAUGAAAGACGUGGUAGCCUGCGAAAAGCUUCGGGGAGUCGGCAAACAGACUUUGAUCCGGAGAUCUCUGAAUGGGGGAACCCACCUAGGAUAACCUAGGUAUCUUGUACUGAAUCCAUAGGUGCAAGAGGCGAACCAGGGGAACUGAAACAUCUAAGUACCCUGAGGAAAAGAAAUCAACCGAGAUUCCCUUAGUAGUGGCGAGCGAACGGGGAUUAGCCCUUAAGCUUCAUUGAUUUUAGCGGAACGCUCUGGAAAGUGCGGCCAUAGUGGGUGAUAGCCCCGUACGCGAAAGGAUCUUUGAAGUGAAAUCGAGUAGGACGGAGCACGAGAAACUUUGUCUGAACAUGGGGGACCAUCCUCCAAGGCUAAAUACUACUGACUGACCGAUAGUGAACCAGUACCGUGAGGGAAAGGCGAAAAGAACCCCGGAGAGGGGGGAGUGAAAUAGAACCUGAAACCGUAUGCGUACAAGCAGUGGGAGCCUACUUGUUAGGUGACUGCGUACCUUUUGUAUAAUGGGUCAGCGACUUAUAUUCAGUGGCAAGCUUAACCGUAUAGGGUAGGCGUAGCGAAAGCGAGUCUUAAUAGGGCGUUUAGUCGCUGGGUAUAGACCCGAAACCGGGCGAUCUAUCCAUGAGCAGGUUGAAGGUUAGGUAACACUGACUGGAGGACCGAACCCACUCCCGUUGAAAAGGUAGGGGAUGACUUGUGGAUCGGAGUGAAAGGCUAAUCAAGCUCGGAGAUAGCUGGUUCUCCUCGAAAGCUAUUUAGGUAGCGCCUCAUGUAUCACUCUGGGGGUAGAGCACUGUUUCGGCUAGGGGGUCAUCCCGACUUACCAAACCGAUGCAAACUCCGGAAUACCCAGAAGUGCCGAGCAUGGGAGACACUACGGCGGGUGCUAACGUCCGUCGUGAAAAGGGAAAACAACCCAGACCGCCAGCUAAGGUCCCAAAGUUGUGGUUAAGUGGUAAACGAUGUGGGAAGGCUUAGACAGCUAGGAGGUUGGCUUAGAAGCAGCCACCCUUUAAAGAAAGCGUAAUAGCUCACUAGUCGAGUCGGCCUGCGCGGAAGAUGUAACGGGGCUCAAACCACACACCGAAGCUGCGGGUGUCACGUAAGUGACGCGGUAGAGGAGCGUUCUGUAAGCCUGUGAAGGUGAGUUGAGAAGCUUGCUGGAGGUAUCAGAAGUGCGAAUGCUGACAUGAGUAACGACAAUGGGUGUGAAAAACACCCACGCCGAAAGACCAAGGGUUCCUGCGCAACGUUAAUCGACGCAGGGUUAGUCGGUUCCUAAGGCGAGGCUGAAAAGCGUAGUCGAUGGGAAACAGGUUAAUAUUCCUGUACUUCUGGUUACUGCGAUGGAGGGACGGAGAAGGCUAGGCCAGCUUGGCGUUGGUUGUCCAAGUUUAAGGUGGUAGGCUGAAAUCUUAGGUAAAUCCGGGGUUUCAAGGCCGAGAGCUGAUGACGAGUCGUCUUUUAGAUGACGAAGUGGUUGAUGCCAUGCUUCCAAGAAAAGCUUCUAAGCUUCAGGUAACCAGGAACCGUACCCCAAACCGACACAGGUGGUCGGGUAGAGAAUACCAAGGCGCUUGAGAGAACUCGGGUGAAGGAACUAGGCAAAAUGGCACCGUAACUUCGGGAGAAGGUGCGCCGGCUAGGGUGAAGGAUUUACUCCGUAAGCUCUGGCUGGUCGAAGAUACCAGGCCGCUGCGACUGUUUAUUAAAAACACAGCACUCUGCAAACACGAAAGUGGACGUAUAGGGUGUGACGCCUGCCCGGUGCCGGAAGGUUAAUUGAUGGGGUUAGCGCAAGCGAAGCUCUUGAUCGAAGCCCCGGUAAACGGCGGCCGUAACUAUAACGGUCCUAAGGUAGCGAAAUUCCUUGUCGGGUAAGUUCCGACCUGCACGAAUGGCGUAACGAUGGCGGCGCUGUCUCCACCCGAGACUCAGUGAAAUUGAAAUCGCUGUGAAGAUGCAGUGUAUCCGCGGCUAGACGGAAAGACCCCGUGAACCUUUACUGUAGCUUUGCACUGGACUUUGAGCCUGCUUGUGUAGGAUAGGUGGGAGGCUUUGAAGCGUGGACGCCAGUUCGCGUGGAGCCAUCCUUGAAAUACCACCCUGGCAUGCUUGAGGUUCUAACUCUGGUCCGUGAUCCGGAUCGAGGACAGUGUAUGGUGGGCAGUUUGACUGGGGCGGUCUCCUCCUAAAGAGUAACGGAGGAGUACGAAGGUGCGCUCAGACCGGUCGGAAAUCGGUCGCAGAGUAUAAAGGCAAAAGCGCGCUUGACUGCGAGACAGACACGUCGAGCAGGUACGAAAGUAGGUCUUAGUGAUCCGGUGGUUCUGUAUGGAAGGGCCAUCGCUCAACGGAUAAAAGGUACUCCGGGGAUAACAGGCUGAUACCGCCCAAGAGUUCAUAUCGACGGCGGUGUUUGGCACCUCGAUGUCGGCUCAUCACAUCCUGGGGCUGAAGCCGGUCCCAAGGGUAUGGCUGUUCGCCAUUUAAAGUGGUACGCGAGCUGGGUUUAGAACGUCGUGAGACAGUUCGGUCCCUAUCUGCCGUGGACGUUUGAGGAUUUGAGAGGGGCUGCUCCUAGUACGAGAGGACCGGAGUGGACGAACCUCUGGUGUUCCGGUUGUCACGCCAGUGGCAUUGCCGGGUAGCUAUGUUCGGAAAAGAUAACCGCUGAAAGCAUCUAAGCGGGAAACUUGCCUCAAGAUGAGAUCUCACUGGGAACUUGAUUCCCCUGAAGGGCCGUCGAAGACUACGACGUUGAUAGGCUGGGUGUGUAAGCGUUGUGAGGCGUUGAGCUAACCAGUACUAAUUGCCCGUGAGGCUUGACCAUAUAACACCCAAACA
rnacentral:rRNA from 1 species